GACGAACGCUGGCGGCGUGCUUAACACAUGCAAGUCGAACGAUGAAGCCCAGCUUGCUGGGUGGAUUAGUGGCGAACGGGUGAGUAAUACGUGAGUAACCUGCCUUUAACUCUGGGAUAAGCCUUGGAAACGGGGUCUAAUACCGGAUACGACCAACCCUCGCAUGGGGUGGUGGUGGGAAGGGAUUUUGUACUGGUUUUAGAUGGGCUCACGGCCUAUCAGCUUGUUGGUGAGGUAACGGCUCACCAAGGCGACGACGGGUAGCCGGCCUGAGAGGGUGACCGGCCACACUGGGACUGAGACACGGCCCAGACUCCUACGGGAGGCAGCAGUGGGGAAUAUUGCACAAUGGGCGCAAGCCUGAUGCAGCGACGCCGCGUGAGGGAUGACGACCUUCGGGUUGUAAACCUCUUUCAGCAGGGGAGAAGCGAAAGUGACGGUACCUGCAGAAGAAGCGCCGGCUAACUACGUG
rnacentral:rRNA from 1 species